UAGAAAACGAAAAAAAGAAAAAGAAAGACGAAAAGAAAGACGAAAAAAAAAGAAGAAAUAGAUGAGAAUCUUCCACUUUUUCCUUAUAU
rnacentral:ribozyme from 1 species